rnacentral:rRNA from 1 species
AUUGAACGCUGGCGGCAGGCCUAACACAUGCAAGUCGAGCGAGCGGCGGAGGGGUGUGAAAUGUCUGGGAAACUGCCUGUUGGAGGGGGGUAACUACUGGAAACGGUAGCUAAUACCGCAUACCAUCAGAUGUGUCCAGAUGGGAUUAGCUCGUAGGUGGGGUAAAGGCUCACCAAGGCGACGAUCCCUAGCUGGUCUGAGAGGAUGACCAGCCACACUGGAACUGAGACACGGUCCAGACUCCUACGGGAGGCAGCAGUGGGGAAUAUUGCACAAUGGGCGCAAGCCUGAUGCAGCCAUGCCGCGUGUGUGAAGAAGGCCUUCGGGGUGUAAAGCACUUUCAGCGGGGAGGCGUUACCCGCAGAAGAAGCACCGGCUAACUCCGUGCCAGCAGCCGCGGUAAUUC